rnacentral:rRNA from 1 species
UACAGAGGGUGCAAGCGUUAAUCGGAAUUACUGGGCGUAAAGCGUGCGCAGGCGGCUUUGCAAGACAGAUGUGAAAUCCCCGGGCUCAACCUGGGAACUGCAUUUGUGACUGCACGGCUGGAGUGCGGCAGAGGGGGAUGGAAUUCCGCGUGUAGCAGUGAAAUGCGUAGAUAUGCGGAGGAACACCGAUGGCGAAGGCAAUCCCCUGGGCCUGCACUGACGCUCAUGCACGAAAGCGUGGGGAGCAAACAGG